CACUGAGUGUUUAAAGAGCUGCAGUAUUUUGACUGUACAAAGGUAGCAUAAUCAUUAGUACAUUAAUUGUGUACUGGAAUGAAAGGUCAGACGAGAAAUAUACUGUCUCUUAUUAAAAUAUAUAAUUUUACUUUCUAGUAAAAAGGCUGGGAUUUUAUUUUUGGACGAUAAGACCCUAUAGAACUUUAAUUAUUAUAAUUAAUUAAUUUAGGUUAUUUUUUAUUAUUUUAAUUUAUUUAAUUUUAAUUGGGGCGAUUUGAAUAAUAAUUAAACUAUUCAUUAUAUUUUCAUUGAUUUAUGUAUUUUAUGAUCCUUUAUUAUGGAUUUAAAGAUCAAGUUACCUUAGGGAUAACAGCGCAAUUAUCUUUGAGAGUCCUUAUUGACAAGAUAGAUUGUGACCUCGAUGUUGGAUUAAGAUUAUUAUUUUGGUGAAGGUGCUAAAUUGAUUGGUCUGUUCGACCAUU
rnacentral:rRNA from 1 species